rnacentral:rRNA from 1 species
UGGGGAAUAUUGCACAAUGGGGGAAACCCUGAUGCAGCAACGCCGCGUGGGUGAAGGAGCGUUUCGGCGCGUAAAGCCCUGUCAGCGGGGAAGAAGAAAGACGGUACCGACCAAGAAGCCCCGGCUAACUACGUGCC